rnacentral:rRNA from 1 species
AUUGAACGCUGGCGGAAUGCUUUACACAUGCAAGUCGAACGGCAGCACGGGGGCAACCCUGGUGGCGAGUGGCGAACGGGUGAGUAAUACAUCGGAACGUGCCCAGUCGUGGGGGAUAACGUAGCGAAAGCUACGCUAAUACCGCAUACGAUCUCUGGAUGAAAGCGGGGGACCGCAAGGCCUCGCGCGAUUGGAGCGGCCCGAUGGCAGAUUAGGUAGUUGGUGGGGUAAAGGCUCACCAAGCCGACGAUCUGUAGCUGGUCUGAGAGGACGACCAGCCACACUGGGACUGAGACACGGCCCAGACUCCUACGGGAGGCAGCAGUGGGGAAUUUUGGACAAUGGGCGAAAGCCUGAUCCAGCCAUUCCGCGUGCAGGAUGAAGGCCCUCGGGUUGUAAACUGCUUUUGUACGGAACGAAAAGCUCUCUCUAAUACAGGGGUGAAUGACGGUACCGUAAGAAUAAGCACCGGCUAACUACGUGCCAGCAGCCGCGGUAAU